CACGUAGGGUGCGAGCGUUGUCCGGAAUUAUUGGGCGUAAAGAGCUCGUAGGCGGUGUGUCGCGUCGGCCGUGAAAACCUGCAGCUUAACUGUGGGCUUGCGGUCGAUACGGGCAUCACUGGAGUUCGGCAGGGGAGACUGGAAUUCCUGGUGUAGCGGUGAAAUGCGCAGAUAUCAGGAGGAACACCGGUGGCGAAGGCGGGCCUCUGGGCCGAUACUGACGCUGAGGAGCGAAAGCGUGGGGAGCAAACAGG
rnacentral:rRNA from 1 species